UACGUAGGGCGCAAGCGUUAUCCGGAAUUAUUGGGCGUAAAGAGCUCGUAGGCGGUUUGUCGCGUCUGCCGUGAAAGUCCGGGGCUCAACUCCGGAUCUGCGGUGGGUACGGGCAGACUAGAGUGAUGUAGGGGAGACUGGAAUUCCUGGUGUAGCGGUGAAAUGCGUAGAUAUCUGGAGGAACACCGGUGGCGAAGGCGGCGUUCUGGACUGUUUCUGACACUGAGGAACGAAAGCCAGGGGAGCAAACGGG
rnacentral:rRNA from 1 species